rnacentral:lncRNA from 1 species
CAGUUCUGUGUCCUUCACACUCUUUUUCACAGGAACUGAGGAAAGAUGCCACGUCUAUGAUGAGAUACAGGGUGAAGCAGAGUUUCAGGUUACAAACGGUGUAGAACGAGUCCCUGUACCUACAGAUGCAUACUGCAUGGUAGAAUGUCCAGGUGGAUCAAACCCAAAUGAUGCCACAUAUUACACCAUCCCCGACCUUCAACCGAUGAAAAAGGCGACCGGUAAAGACUUU